rnacentral:rRNA from 1 species
UCCUACGGGGGGCAGCAGUGGGGAAUAUUGCACAAUGGGGGAAACCCUGAUGCAGCAACGCCGCGUGAAGGAAGACGGUUUUCGGAUUGUAAACUUCUGUUCUUAGAGAAGAUAAUGACGGUAUCUAACGAAUAAGCACCGGCUAACUCCGUGCCAGCAGCCGCGGUAAUACGGAGGGUGCAAGCGUUACUCGGAAUCACUGGGCGUAAAGAGCGCGUAGGCGGGAUAGCAAGUCAGAUGUGAAAUCCUAUGGCUUAACCAUAGAACUGCAUUUGAAACUGUUAUUCUAGAGUAUGGGAGAGGUA